GCAAUGCCAGCCAGUGCCUGCGCGGCUUGCUCCAGCAAGGUAAAAUUUCCCACUGCGAGGCAGGCAGUGAUGCUGCGGCCGCUUCGCACUGUGGCUCCUGCCGACCGCCAGGCGCUGUUACAGUGGAUGCGAACUAACCGUAAGUCAUUAUAUCGUACUGCAGAAACCAGCUCAACUAUGCAAAACUACCACCAGGACUGGCCGACACCAGGAGGGAUUCCAGAGACCACACUGCAGGGAGCAUACAGAAAGAAAAUUAAGAGAUCAGAUGCAGCAGCAGCCGGAACCCACAGUUCACCUUGGUGCAUUCCUUUAUGAUGAAGACUUAUUGAUUCAUUAUAUGAGAAAGGAAAAAUGAGCAGAAACUACUGUAUGAUGUGCAGCUCACACCAGACAGCAACUUUAGGGUUAUCUUUCCAGUUCAGCAGUGCAACUCUAUGGAGUAGAAUUGAAAGGAGACUUUUCGCCAAUUGCAGGAAAUGGUCAUAAAAAAAUACCUGCUCACUGACAGAAUAAAGCACAUGUGCCUCACUCUUCAUGGUAAAUGUUUUACUGAAGAAUAACAUACAGAAAAGUGGACAAGUCUUAACUGCACAGCUCAAUGAAUUUCCAUGAAGUAAAUAUACCCAUAUGAUAAUCCAGCUCAAGAAACAGAAAAUCACUACCACCCCAGAAGACUGCCUUAUACUACCAUCUUUUAAGAGUGAAUCACACAUGGGAUAAGAUUAGCAUAUUCGUAGUCUGGAAAAUGCUAUACAAAGAAUGUAAAGCAUGAAACUACUUGUGGACCAAAUGAAAAACUGUGGAGCAGAUUAUGAUGCAGUUAGACCUUGCUUGAAUGACUUUGACCCACAAAAGCAGAGUAAUUUAUCCCUACUUACAGAGAGAUUGCCCUACGUGUAACAGCUGCAUACAAAAAAGUUAUAAAAUUAUCAUUGGUUUAACAAGGAUAAGUGAAAAACAUUAAAAUUCUCCAACUGAACAAGGUGUGUCUGUUUCAUUGAUUGGCUGACUGUCAAAUCGGAAUCUGAUCUGCCCCAUUGACAAUGCCUUGGGCUUUUCCUCGGCCAUGGCAAAUGCCAGAGUCUUCUCAGCUGCCGCUUCACAAAAGAGGUACCAGCUUCUCACUGAACGAACACAGUGCAGCACCAGGAGUGACAGAAGAAGGAGGCGGCAGCGGUGGUUGAGGGACAGGGUGCGUGCACGUCCAAGUACAGUUCUUAAAAUGUUGAGGGCAUACAACAUAUGCUCAAUAAAUACCUGAUUUUUAAAAAAGACAAUGACUAUGGAAAACUCUUGAUCAUUAACCCGAAGGGAGAGUCUAGUUUCCAGGAAGCAUUUGUUUGUAUACACUAUUUAACCCAAGGAUACACUCUUUUCUCCGUGGCAGCGUGACUCAUCUUAGUCUCCAAUUUUUGACCUGGUAAGGCAUCUUUUUUGGUCUCUUAAUUUCUGGCUCACUUGGCCCUGAUUUGAUGUGAAUGUUCUUACUGACAUCCCAGUGACUGAUUCUCAGCACACCACAACCCCUUUUGGUUCCUACCCUAUCUUCUCUGUGUUGGCAACUGGACUCGCCUAUUCUUCAGGACUUUCAGGAGUGCACACUCUGGUAGCUCUCUAUUGACUUUACUGCUCACUCAUUCUUUUUCUUUUUUUUUGGAGACGGAGUCUCGCUCUGUUGCCCAGGCUGGAGUGCAGUGGCGCGA
rnacentral:lncRNA from 1 species